rnacentral:rRNA from 1 species
AUUGAACGCUGGCGGCAGGCUUAACACAUGCAAGUCGAACGAUUGGCGGACGGGUGUGUAAUGCUUGGGAAUCUAGCUUAUGGAGGGGGAUAACUACGGGAAACUGUAGCUAAUACCGCUUACCAUAGGAUUAGCCCAAGUGUGAUUAGGUAGUUGGUGAGGUAAAGGCUCACCAAGCCGACGAUCUCUAGCUGGUCUGAGAGGAUGACAAGCAACACUGGGACGGAGCAACGGCCAGGACUCCGACGGGAGGCAGCAGUGGGGAAUAUUGCGAAAUGGGGGAAACCCUGACGAAGACAUGCCGCGUGUAUGAAGAAGGCCUUCGGGUUGUAAAGUACUUUCAGUCGGGAGGCGUUACCGACAGAAGAAGCACCGGCUAACUCCGUGCCUGCAGCCGCGGUAAUAC